GCCGGGGUAGCUCAAUCGGUAGAGCGUGUGGCUCUUAGCACCUCUAGGAGAUCACCUCAAGGUCGCGGGUUCGAGCCCCGCCUUCGGCU
rnacentral:tRNA from 1 species